rnacentral:rRNA from 1 species
GACGAACGCUGGCGGCGUGCUUAACACAUGCAAGUCGAACGGAAAGGCCCUGCUUUUGUGGGGUGCUCGAGUGGCGAACGGGUGAGUAACACGUGAGUAACCUGCCCUUGACUUUGGGAUAACUUCAGGAAACUGGGGCUAAUACCGGAUAGGAGCUCCUGCUGCAUGGUGGGGGUUGGAAAGUUUCGGCGGUUGGGCAUGGACUCGCGGCUUAUCAGCUUGUUGGUGGGGUAGUGGCUUACCAAGGCUUUGACGGGUAGCCGGCCUGAGAGGGUGACCGGCCACAUUGGCACUGAGAUACGGCCCAGACGCAUACGGGCGGCAGCAGCGGGGAAUAUUGCACAAGGGGCGGAGGCAUGAUGCAGCAACGCCGCGUGCGGGAUGACGGCCUUCGGGUGGUAAACCGCUUUCGCCUGUGACGAAGCGUGAGUGACGGUAAUGGGUAAAGAAGCACCGGCUAACUACGU